UGUAUUCUUGAACUCUUUCUCCUUUUCAUAUAUCAAUGAAAAGUUGUUUUUUGUAAAAAAAAAAUAUAAUACUUCUUAGUAAGAUAACGUUUUUGUACAUAGAGUUUGGUUGGACUGCUUGAUUGCCUAUAGAAGGGAAUGCCAUUUCUUUUCUUCUGCCAAAGGUUUCGUUUGUGAAGAAAUUCUUCUUUGUUCUUAAUAUUAAAACGAACAGUUUGAUUGACCUGCGUGGAAGAAUCUUAUUCUUACUCAUUGGAAGGGCUCGAGAAAUUGUUGUGGCCAUGCUUCAGAUAUAGUUCCACAGCUGCCUUUAGCGCCCAAGGUAAAGCAUCACUCGCUUCGAUCGAGGGAGUUGUUCGUGUCGAAGAUAUUAACUUAGAGGAGCUAAAAUACAAGGAUGAAUCUCGAGAAAAACAACCUAAGAAGAAUCUCUAAGCUAAGAAGGAAGCAUAAAAGCAAGAAUCUCGUGGAGCCAUCAAUUCAUAGCUACGGUAUAAUAUUUGGAAAGAGGCUGCCAUCAGUAUGGGAGUUUGGAGAUGGAGCUUCUCCCUGUACUAGAGCACCUGCACCCGCUCCAAGACUUGAAGUUGAAAGUUGAAAGAUACCAAGGAUUUUUGUUAUUAAACUCAUCGAAGGUUUGAACAUGUGACCUCCGAAUAGGUGUUACUUGGAAAUUAAACUGCAUGCCCUCUAGCUCGAGAGAUUGGCUUAAUUGAUCCCGAAAAAAUUGGUACU